rnacentral:misc_RNA from 1 species
CUAAGGAAAUAAGUUGUCUUUUCUAAUAUAUAAUUAUUUAGUUUUGAGUGUUUAAUCACUCAUUGAACAUUGAAAAUUGAAUAACAAACACAACGGUUAUAGAAAUAUAAUCGGAGCCAGACAAUAUUUUGAUAUAUGCAAAUCAAAGUAAAGAAAAAGAGGUAAAGAUAAAAAGUUUUUCCGUUUUAUAGAAAUAUAAAAAAGAUUUAAACAAUAUCAAGCCAAAGAUUUGAAAGGAUCAAA